UAUUGUUUUUUGUCUUCCCAGUCAAAUCCUGUCCUGCCCUCAGAGGAUGAGUUGAGCUCUUCUCCAUCCCCAUCCAUACAUGAUGAGCCUGUCCUGCACUGAAGCCUAUGAACACCUCAACCCCUGUCCUGCACUGAAGUCAAGCCUCUGAAAACCUCAACUCAUGCCUCAAACCCUCAUUGAAUCACUGCUGUGAUCCCUUCCCAGCACUGUGAAGCGAUGUCACUGAGUACUGCCCCUAUAUAUAGGACCUUCCGUGCGAGCAAGGAGGCCUACAGACCCGACUCAGUUACCCCAGCUCUGUCAGCAGGAAUGGGCCAAAAUUCACCCAACUUAUUGUGGGAAGGCUACCCAAAAUGUUUGACCCAAGUUAAACAAUUUAAAGGCAAUGAUACCAAAUACUAAUUGAGUGUAUGUAUGUAAACUUCUGACCCACUGUGAAAAGCUGAAAUAAAUCAUUCUUUCUACUAUUAUUCUGACAGGGAUUUUUUACUAGGAUUAAAUGUCAGGAAUUGUGAAAAACGGAGUUUAAAUGUAUUUGGCUAAGGUGUAUGUAAACUUCCGACUUCAACUGUACAUACCAUUCUCAGCAUCAACAAAACUCUGUCUUGUUAAGUGUGUUCCAGUGUUGGCUGCGCCCACUAAUUGGCCAGACACCUUAAUAGGGUCUGUUUGAAUAGACACAAAUUAACAGCUUUGUAUGCGUAAAAAAACACGGCAUGCUAGCUCCAUCCUGGUGGCGCAUGGACAUUAGAUCAUAAAUUAAAAUCCUACUGAUGCCGUAUCACAAUAAAUCUGUUGCAUGAUUAAAUGAAA